CCUACGGGUGGCAGCAGUGGGGAAUAUUGCACAAUGGGGGAAACCCUGAUGCAGCGACGCCGCGUGAGUGAAGAAGUACUUCGUUAUGUAAAGCUCUAUCAGCAGGGAAGAAAAUGACGGUACCUGAGUAAGUAGCGCCGGCUAACUACGUGCCAGCAGCCGCGGGAAUUCGUAGGGGGCAAGCGUUAUCCGGAUUUACUGGGUGUAAAGGGAGCGUAGACGGCAGUGCAAGUCUGGAGUGAAAGGCGGGGGGUCAACCCCCGGACCGCUCUGGAAACUGUACGGCUGGAGUGCAGGAGAGGUAAGUGGAAUGCCUGGUGUAGCGGUGAAAUGCGUAGAUAUUAGGAGGAACACCAAUGGCGAAGGCAGCUUACUGGACUGUAACUGACGUUGAGGCACGAAAGCGUGGGGAGCAAACAGGAUUAGAUACCCCUGUAGUC
rnacentral:rRNA from 1 species